rnacentral:tRNA from 1 species
GCCUGUUUGGCUCAGUGGAUAGAGCAUCAGCCUGCAGACUGAAGGGUCCCAGGUUCGAUUCCGGUCAGGGGCA